CCUCCGUCUCGUUUUAAACAUCCUUUCGUGUCCAAUUUUAAUCAUUUAUCUUAUUUAAUUUUUUUUAUUUUUAUUAUUAUUAGAUAAUAAACAUGAAUACUACUUUAUACUUUAUACGUUACUUAUAUUUUUUUAUUUUUUUAAAAAAAUUUUAAAAUAAAAUGAAUGAUUAAAAUUGGACACGUAAACUCAUGACUAUAUUUAUA
rnacentral:pre_miRNA from 1 species